rnacentral:rRNA from 1 species
UUCCUGGGGUUAAAGCCGGUCCCAAGGGUAUGGCUGUUCGCCAUUUAAAGUGGUACGCGAGCUGGGUUUAGAACGUCGUGAGACAGUUCGGUCUCUAUCUACUGUGGGCGUUAGAAAUUUGAGUGGAUCUGACUCUAGUACGAGAGGACCGAGUUGGACGAACCUCUGGUGUACCUGUUGUUCCGCCAGGAGCAUUGCAGGGUAGCUACGUUCGGAAGGGAUAAGCGCUGAAAGCAUAUAAGCGCGAAACUCGCCCUAAGAUGAGAUUUCUUUUAAGGGUCGUUCGAGAUCAGGACGUUGAUAGGCUACAGGUGUAAG